GAUGAACGCUGGCGGCGUGCUUAACACAUGCAAGUCGAACGGAGCUUUGUUACGGAAUCUUCGGAAGAAGUGAUGAAGCUUAGUGGCGGACGGGUGAGUAACACGUGAGCAACCUACCUUUUGCAGGGGAAUAACUCUGGGAAACCAGAGCUAAUACCGCAUGACGUACACAUGAGGCAUCUUAGGUGUAUGAAAGGAGUAAUCCGGCAGAAGAUGGGCUCGCGUCCGAUUAGGUAGUUGGUGGGGUAAGGGCCUACCAAGCCGACGAUCGGUAGCCGGACUGAGAGGUCGACCGGCCACAUUGGGACUGAGACACGGCCCAGACUCCUACGGGAGGCAGCAGUGGGGAAUAUUGGGCAAUGGGCGGAAGCCUGACCCAGCGACGCCGCGUGAAGGAGGAAGGCUUUCGAGUUGUAAACUUCUUUGGGGAGGGACGAAGAUGACGGUACUCCAGAACAAGCCACGGCUAACUACGUG
rnacentral:rRNA from 1 species